AGCCAGUGUGGCGUAAUGGUUAGAGUGUCAGACUAGGUCCUUGGAGUCCAGGGUUCAAAUCCCCACUUGGCCA
rnacentral:tRNA from 1 species